CUGCCCUCGCUUCCUGUGCGUCCUCAGGUCACCGCUUGCUCUGGUUCCCAGGCUUUGGCCUCCAGUGGACGGGAAUCGCGGAGCUUGCGGGGCUGGACGCUGACCGCCAGGGCCAGCACCUAGGCGGGCGCGGAGCUGUGCGGGGCAGGGUUCGCGCGGGCCCGAGGGAGGCUCGAGCGGGGAUCCCGGAGCGUGAGCCCCGGAGUCGGCGGCGCUGGGGCCACAGGGGCCUGGCGGGAGGUGGCGGAGGUGGCGGAGGCGAAGGGGCGGCAGGAGCCGGGCCUGGCCCGUGUGUGUCCUCGGCGGCCUGGCCCAGGCCGCUGUUGUACGGUGAGCCCCAGGGAGGCGGAUCUGGGCCGCGGGAAGGACACCCGCCUGGAUUUGCUCCUAGGCCCGGCCCGGGCCCGUCGGGAGCAGAACAGCCUUGGUGAGGUGGAGAAGAGGGAACCUCGCGAGCAGACGCGCGACAGCAGGCCCGCCCCGGCCUCUCGGGAGCCCCAGCAUGGUCUACCAGCCACAGUCUCUGCACGUUUCCAAGAGCAGCAGAAAAUGAACACAUUGCAG